AAUUGCUAAAAGGGUCUAGAUGGUAACUAAAUCCUAUUUGGAAGUUUUAGAAUGAAUGAGGACUUACCUGAUUUGUAAUUUUGCAAGUAUUAUUUUCAUAAAACCAAUUUUGUGAAUAACAGGUUGAAAUCUGCCACAGGAAAAGAUAGAACAGUUUACGAAGGAUUGGAAAUGAUGAGAAGUUUUUAGUUUUAGAUAGGUGGCCAGGAUAGGCCUUGCUAAUAGGUGGCAUUUGAAAAAAAGAGUUGAAGUAGUUGAGGGAGUUAGCCAUGUGGAUGUCUGAGGGAAGGGAGUAGCAUACAGAGUAACAGCCUGUGCAGAGGCCUGAAGGGAGAAGAGUGUACCUGGCCUGUUUGAGGAACAGCAAGGAAGUCAGUAUGGCUGAAGAAGAUUAAGCAAGGGAGAGAAUUGUAGGAUGGUAUCAUAGAGGUAAGGAAAUAGGGAGGCUAGGUCAUGUCGAGUCUUCUAGGCCAUUGUAAAGUCUUGGGCUUUUGCUCUUGGUGAGAUGGCAGGACAUUAGAGACUUUUAAGCAGAGAAGUGACAUGAUCUGACUUGUGUUUUAAGAGCAUAACCCUGUGUUGGGAAUAUCACAGGGAAAUCAGUUAAUAGGCUAUUAUAGUAAUCCAAGUAAGAGAUGAUGGUGACUUGGUCUAGCAUGGCAGCAAUGUAGAGGAUGAGAAGUUAUCAGAUUCCAGAUAAAGAGAGAGCCAGCAUAUUUUCCUGAAAGAUAGGCUGUGGAGUAUAAGAAAAAAAGGAGUCGAGAAUGCGCCCUAGAAUUUUGUCCUGAGCAAAAUUGAACAAAGUGUGGGACUCAUAGGUCUAAGUUUUGGGUGAGAAUAUUUCUUCAGUUUUUGGCACAUUAACUUUGAGAAGUGUUUCAAAAGAGGAUAUAUUUUGAAAGUAAUUGAAUAUAUAAGUUUAAAGUUUAGAGAGAUGUCUAGACGAGACAUAAAAAUUUGGAAGUUGGUAUGUAGACGGUUUUUAAAGCCCACCAGAGAAGUGAGUGCAGAUGGAGAAGAAAACACCAUCAAGGACUGAGCCUUGGAAUGCUCCAAUUUUAAGAAAUCUGAGCGAAGAGGAGGAAACAGCCAAGGCAACUGGGAACUACUGAGGUUAAAAAAUAAAAUCUUCAGUAUUAUUGGAACAAUGUUAUGUCCUGAAAGUCAAGUAAAGAAUGUGUAUCAGAAGAGAGUCAUCAGAUGGUUAAAGCCGCUGAUGUAUCAAGAUGAGGACUGAGAAUUGGUCAUUGGAUUUAGCAACAUGGUGCUCAUUUGUGACUUUGACAAGUAGUUUUGAAAGAAAGGUGAGAGCCAGAGCUGACCUGAAGUGGGUUUUAGAGCAAAUAGGAGAAAAGAUUUAGUCACAGAGAGUAUAGACAACUUUUGAGAAAUUUUGCUGCAGUGGGGAGUUGAGUAGUGGGACUGUAGCUGCUGAGAGAAAUGGGAUUAAGAGAUUUUUGUUGUUGUUGUUUCUUAAAGAUGGGAGAGAAAACAGCUUGGUGGGAUCCAUUUAAGAAUGGGAAAGCUUAGUAAUAGAGGAGAAAGGGAGAAUUACUUUAGCAAUGUCCUUGAACUACAGUAAUGAAAAAGAAUAACAAGUAGAGCACGAGUGGAGGGUUUGACUGAAGAUAGGAGUAGUCUCCCAUAGUAAAAGAUGAAAAGACAAACAUGCUUGUACAUGCUGAUAGUUAAGUGUAUAAGUGGUGGUAAAUCAGUGGCAGUUUUCUUCUGAUUGUUUCAUUUGUUUCAGGGUAGUAGCCAACAAGAUCAUUAUCUGUGAAUGAGGAUCAGUAUAUGCAAAGAAAACCAUCAUGCCC